rnacentral:rRNA from 1 species
CCUACGGGAGACAGCAGUAGGGAAUUUUCGUCAAUGGGCGCAAGCCUGAACGAGCGAUGCCGCGUGAGUGAAGAAGGCCUUCGGGUCGUAAAGCUCUGUUGCGGGGGAAAAAAGGCAGCAUCAGGAAAUGGGUGCUGACUGAUGGUGCCCCGCCAGAAAGUCACGGCUAACUACGUGCCAGCAGCCGCGGUAAUACGUAGGUGGCGAGCGUUAUCCGGAAGGAUUGGGCGUAAGGGGUGCGCAGGCGGUCCUGCAAGUCUGGAGUGAAACGCAUGAGCUCAACUCAUGCAUGGCUUUGGAAACUGGAGGACUGGAGAGCAGGAGAGGGCGGUGGAACUCCAUGUGUAGCGGUAAAAUGCGUAGAUAUAUGGAAGAACACCAGUGGCGAAGGCGGCCGCCUGGCCUGUUGCUGACGCUGAGGCACGAAAGCGUGGGGAGCAAAUAGGAUUAGAUACCCCAGUAGUC